UACGGGGGGAGCAAGCGUUGUUCGGAUUUACUGGGCGUAAAGGGCGCGUAGGCGGCCUUCUAAGUCGAACGUGAAAUCCCUGGGCUCAACCCAGGAACUGCGUCCGAGACUGGGAGGCUAGAAUCCGGGAGAGGGAUGUGGAAUUCCAGGUGUAGCGGUGAAAUGCGUAGAUAUCUGGAGGAACAUCGGUGGCGAAGGCGGCAUCCUGGACCGGUAUUGACGCUGAGGCGCGAAAGCCAGGGGAGCAAACGGG
rnacentral:rRNA from 1 species